UUAAACACCAUCACUUUUAAUCGAUCAUAUAAACAUGGGGAAUACCGGUGUUGGAAUCUUAAUUUUUUUAGCUUUUUAUUUUGUGACUACAUCUGGAAUAAUGGAAUAUAUACCAUGUGGAUUAUGGUCGUGCGAUGUGGAUCUAGACUGUUGGGACCCACAUUGUGGGCUUAAGUGCAUUAACUUCACUAGUCCAACCACUGGGAUUGUAAUCCAGCUGUGUGCAAAUCCUCCGCAUAAUUAGACAAGGAAGUUCGAUUUGUAAGAUUGUAUUUUGAGAUUAAAUAUACAGUGUGUUUGGUUCA